rnacentral:rRNA from 1 species
GAGCGGAUGAACUGAGGGUAGCGGAGAAAUUCCAAUCGAACCUGGAGAUAGCUGGUUCUCUCCGAAAUAGCUUUAGGGCUAGCCUCAAGUGAUAAUUAUUGGAGGUAGAGCACUGUUUGGACGAGGGGCCCCUCUCGGGUUACCGAAUUCAGACAAACUCCGAAUGCCAAUUAAUUUAACUUGGGAGUCAGAACAUGGGUGAUAAGGUCCGUGUUCGAAAGGGAAACAGCCCAGACCACCAGCUAAGGUCCCAAAAUAUAUGUUAAGUGGAAAAGGAUGUGGCGUUGCCCAGACAACUAGGAUGUUGGCUUAGAAGCAGCCAUCAUUUAAAGAGUGCGUAAUAGCUCACUAGUCGAGUGACACUGCGCCGAAAAUGUACCGGGGCUAAACAUAUUACCGAAGCUGUGGAUUGUCCUUUGGACAAUGGUAGGAGAGCGUUCUAAGGGCGUUGAAGCAUGAUCGUAAGGACAUGUGGAGCGCUUAGAAGUGAGAAUGCCGGUGUGAGUAGCGAAAGACGGGUGAGAAUCCCGUCCACCGAUUGACUAAGGUUUCCAGAGGAAGGCUCGUCCGCUCUGGGUUAGUCGGGUCCUAAGCUGAGGCCGACAGGCGUAGGCGAUGGAUAACAGGUUGAUAUUCCUGUACCACCUAUAAUCGUUUUAAUCGAUGGGGGGACGCAGUAGGAUAGGCGAAGCGUGCGAUUGGAUUGCACGUCUAAGCAGUAAGGCUGAGUAUUAGGCAAAUCCGGUACUCGUUAAGGCUGAGCUGUGAUGGGGAGAAGACAUUGUGUCUUCGAGUCGUUGAUUUCACACUGCCGAGAAAAGCCUCUAGAUAGAAAAUAGGUGCCCGUACCGCAAACCGACACAGGUAGUCAAGAUGAGAAUUCUAAGGUGAGCGAGCGAACUCUCGUUAAGGAACUCGGCAAAAUGACCCCGUAACUUCGGGAGAAGGGGUGCUCUUUAGGGUUAACGCCCAGAAGAGCCGCAGUGAAUAGGCCCAAGCGACUGUUUAUCAAAAACACAGGUCUCUGCUAAACCGUAAGGUGAUGUAUAGGGGCUGACGCCUGCCCGGUGCUGGAAGGUUAAGAGGAGUGGUUAGCUUCUGCGAAGCUACGAAUCGAAGCCCCAGUAAACGGCGGCCGUAACUAUAACGGUCCUAAGGUAGCGAAAUUCCUUGUCGGGUAAGUUCCGACCCGCACGAAAGGCGUAACGAUUUGGGCACUGUCUCAACGAGAGACUCGGUGAAAUCAUAGUACCUGUGAAGAUGCAGGUUACCCGCGACAGGACGGAAAGACCCCGUGGAGCUUUACUGUAGCCUGAUAUUGAAAUUCGGCACAGCUUGUACAGGAUAGGUAGGAGCCUUUGAAACGUGAGCGCUAGCUUACGUGGAGGCGCUGGUGGGAUACUACCCUAGCUGUGUUGGNUUUCUAACCCGCACCACUUAUCGUGGUGGGAGACAGUGUCAGGCGGGCAGUUUGACUGGGGCGGUCGCCUCCUAAAAGGUAACGGAGGCGCUCAAAGGUUCCCUCAGAAUGGUUGGAAAUCAUUCAUAGAGUGUAAAGGCAUAAGGGAGCUUGACUGCGAGACCUACAAGUCGAGCAGGGUCGAAAGACGGACUUAGUGAUCCGGUGGUUCCGCAUGGAAGGGCCAUCGCUCAACGGAUAAAAGCUACCCCGGGGAUAACAGGCUUAUCUCCCCCAAGAGUUCACAUCGACGGGGAGGUUUGGCACCUCGAUGUCGGCUCAUCGCAUCCUGGGGCUGUAGUCGGUCCCAAGGGUUGGGCUGUUCGCCCAUUAAAGCGGUACGCGAGCUGGGUUCAGAACGUCGUGAGACAGUUCGGUCCCUAUCCGUCGUGGGCGUAGGAAAUUUGAGAGGAGCUGUCCUUAGUACGAGAGGACCGGGAUGGACAUACCUCUGGUGUACCAGUUGUCGUGCCAACGGCAUAGCUGGGUAGCUAUGUGUGGACGGGAUAAGUGCUGAAAGCAUCUAAGCAUGAAGCCCCCCUCAAGAUGAGAUUUCCCAACUUCGGUUAUAAGAUCCCUCAAAGAUGAUGAGGUUAAUAGGUUCGAGGUGGAAGCAUGGUGACAUGUGGAGCUGACGAAUACUAAUCGAUCGAAGACUUAAUCAA